UACAGAGGUCCCAAGCGUUGUUCGGAUUCAUUGGGCGUAAAGGGUGCGUAGGCGGCGCGGUAAGUCGGGUGUGAAAUCUCGGAGCUUAACUCCGAAACUGCAUUCGAUACUGCCGUGCUUGAGGACUGGAGAGGAGACUGGAAUUUACGGUGUAGCGGUGAAAUGCGUAGAUAUCGUAAGGAAGACCAGUGGCGAAAGCGGCUUCCUGGACCAGCACCGACGUUCAGGCACGAAAGCGUGGGGAGCAAACAGG
rnacentral:rRNA from 1 species